GUUAGGGUUGUUGUUGCUGUAACUUAUCCCUUAUAACCUAAUAGGAAUAAAAUGGGAAAAUGAGCGGUGACAAUGAGAGAAAAAGAGAGAGAAAGGGGAGAAGGAGGUUGUCACACACGGCUUCACUCCAUGAACGAUGACAAUUGCCAUAAUGCGAGGAAGAAGAUUAAAGUGGGCUUCACCGUUGCUGGAAAUCGCCUCCGACAAUGGUGCGUGACGGUGUUUACCGUGAUUUGGUCAACGUAGUGGCUCAUCAAUGCAAUAAGAAAGCGAGGGAGAAGAUGAAAGCGAGCAUCAUCACCAUCGAAAAUAGUUUCCAGCAGCGACGCACAACAGCGUUCAUUAGAACCACUUUUUUGUUGCAUUGUUACGAAUUACUCAUUUUAUUCUUUAUUACUAUCUUCUUCCUAUUAGAAUUGAAUUUUUAUUUGCUAAAUUCUUUGCUGGGGUUUGGGAAUAAGGGUUUCAAUUCCAUGGUAAAAAGAUUCACUAAAAAAAAUUGUUUCAGUGAUUAGAAAUUGAUUUGCAUACCAAAUAAAAUUAGAGAGCGUAAUUAAUACGCAGAGUCAAUCGUGCACUACUUUAGCCUUUUCUUCUGCCUUUUGCUUGAGUUCUACUCCCUCUUGAUCAUUGUUGGUGCCAAGUUCAUGCUUUUGGAAGCAUAUAUUGUAGAAGUGCGAUCUUAGGGACAUGUUGGUGGUUAUGCCAGAGAAGCUCAACAAAGCUUGUUGGGGGAGAUUCAAGAGCAACAGUAAAAUGUAGAAUGACAGAGAUUUUGGGUACAAAGGAACAUAUUGUUUCCUUCUUUCCUUGUCUUUUUCUAAUUCUUUUUUAUUUAUUUAUGAUUAUUGUAUAUAUUUUUAUUUGAGUUUAAAUCUGGGUUGUAAAUUA